UUUCUCUUGAUAGAUGAUAGAACCGCGCUAAUUUUAGUUCAUAAAUCACCAUAAGUUGAGUCGCUCAACUAGAUUACCUUUUAAUAAUAAACCUGAUAAUGACAGGAACCGAACUUGACGUUUGUUUGCCUUUCCACAUCAGUGAUUGAGGCUUUGUCUUUGAUUUUAUCAAUCAUUGGCCUUUGUCAUUCGGUGAUAGCGGCUUUUAUUGGCAAUGUGUAGGUACAGGCUCGAACCUCAUGUAUCCGAAUGUCGAUCGUCUUUCUCCUUCCACACCAAAAUCAUUUGCAAGUUGUAACAUUACAUUUGCUGUUGCUGCAGCUGCUCAUUUAGCUAUACAAAAUCAACCAUUUCGGGAGAAAAAAGGAUGUAAAAACGCAGACAGUAAUUUACAUUAGACUCUAAAACCUAAACAAUUCCCACCUCUCAUCGUAGACGGUAGACCAUUACACAGUAGCGUUGUUACGUAAAAACACAUGGACACAAAGGAAUUAGCGCAAAAGCAGCUUGAUGUUCAACAACUUCCCAACCUUUCAAUAGAAAUCUUUCCGAACCUUUCAAUAGAAAUCUUAAGGUCGGUAGCUGCAACGACCGUGGUCCUCCCACCCCCAUCAAGCUGGGAAGCCCAAUGAUGACACCUAAAAGGAAGAAGACAGUUAAUUGCCGACCGGAAAUUUACCUUCAGUAAAUUAUAUAUGUAUACCCUAAAAACAGCUUUAUAACUGGACGAGAUUUUACCUGGCACCCAGAUAAAAAAACACUUUAAUAACUGCUUGUCACCCCAACAAAAAUAUUGCAUAGUUGCGAAUAUACUAGAGAUGAACUUGUACAAACUUUUCUCGAAUUCAUUUUCCAGAAAUAUUGACUUCAGCUGUUACAAAUUUGCAUAUUCUAAUCUCUACAUCAUUCAUACAGGACUAAUUCACCAAAUUUCUCUAGGGAAAGAUUUGAUUACCAUUCCAUAACUUAGUGUCUCAGCAAAAUAAAUAAUAGAACAGCUCACACAAUUGUACAUGACAUCCACACACACAAACACACAAAAGAUACUAUAUAGCAGCUUGAAAAUUUCUGGGAUGUUACUCAGUCCCGUUCACCCAGGGCACAUGUUCAUUAAGGUGAUUCAUUGCCUUCAACAGUGGUUGCACUGAAGUAAGCAGUUACUGCCUUCAACUUGCCAUUCAAGAAGUUCUUCUCAACCUGGGACCAGGGCCAACAACAAUACAAAAUAACUUUACAGCACAAAUCAGCAUAUUUAUUGACAUCAAGAAAUAGUAAACCAAACAACAAACAGAAUUCCUGGGGCAUAUCGUUCAAUAUUGGGUGGAGCUAGUUAAGGUAAAUGGGGCAAUAAAUCUAAGCAGGAGAAAACAAGAGAAUCCUUCAAACCAUGCAAACAACCAGGUAAAAGAGAAAAACAGGUGGAAACUUCAGAAUUAUUUUGACCAAAUGACGUAUGAUAAAAGAGGCAGUAAAUGUUUCUAACAAUUUUAUGUCAAAGUUACUGAUAAAAAGUGCCACCAAUAGAGUAAGACAUAAACAAAGCUUCAUUUAAAAGAUAUAGAUAUCUUAAUCUUUUCAUCAAUAUCAUGAUGAUAAACAGAAAUCGUGUGAAGCAGAAUUCUUCAGGGUGUCAUUUGUCCAAGAAACUGGAGGUGGAGUGGUGGAACCAUCACCAUUCCUUGAUAAAAAAACUAAAAUACUUGAAAAAAAAAACCCUAUAAUAUUUAGGGUUUGUUUGGAUUGUUGUUGGAACUACUGUUGAGAAAAACAUCCCCUUAAGUUAAAUUUGGUAUUUUAGUUAUGCAAAUAACAAAAUAACUUUUUUCAGACUGUUAUUUCCAACAUCUAAACUGGUGCUUUUUCAAAAAGCAAGUUUAGACCACAACCCAAUAGGCUCUUAGAAGUUGUCUCACAUCCUAAAAAAUCUCCUGCUACAUCAUUUCAAUUGAUUUGAUUACUAGAAGGUUGAAUUGUGUCUCUAAAUGCUAAAGAGAGACGAUGAAAAUGGAUCAGCUGUUUGUCUUAGCUACUGAGAGUAAGACGGGGCACAACCUUCUAUUAGUAGCAAAACCUAAUAGCUAUUCAGAGGACACUGAAUGAACUGAAUUAAAAAGUUACCUCUAGCGACCAUGGAUGAUCAGCAGAUAGAGACAACUCUGCCAAUUGGUUGAGAUCAACAUUUCUAGGUAGAAACAUGACAAUUUUGUGAGCAAUUUUCUUUGCAGUGUUAAAGAGAAAAUAUCCAUCAUGUGGUUUAAGCAUUCUCAUGAUGUUGUAAGUCUUUACUUUGGCAUAAUCAGGUCCUCCCCAAGGAGGUGACAAGAAGACUGUGUCUGCCUUCAGCUUUGGUGCCAAAACAAAAAAGUCCCCCUUUAUAAAAUCUAUUUGGUCUCUAACUCCAUAGAUGGCAGCAUUAUGAUACGCAUAAUCAAUCUUCUUUGGAUCAACAUCAAUCGCAGUAACAUGUUUGCACCUCUGCGCAAAUUGGAUGGCAUUUCCACCAACUCCAGCGAAACAGUCAAUUAUGAUGUCACUAUCACAACGUAAUGCAUGAUGCCUAGCAAUAGGCUCUGGAGUCACAGAAAACCAACCUUCCUCGUCCAUCUGUAUACCACUAUCAAAUCUGGAGAACAAAAGGUACCUUUGGCACCAGUAUUUGCCAAUAUUGGCAGAUAACUCUUCCAAGAUAACUUGACACUGAAGCUCUUCACUAGCAUUGGACGAUUUCCUACGUGCACCCAUUUUUCUUGCUUUCUUUUUCUUUUUUUUCAUGCCAGAGUCAAACUGCGUAUCCAUCCUAUCUGUUGCAGGAUCAACUAUUUCUAUUUGCAUGUUAUCAUCCCCAUUAAUUUUCUCAGUGAUCUUACAGGUCAAGCUGCCAAUAUGCUCCUGCACAUCUGAUGAUAAGCACGAUGUAACCUCAUCAUCAAAACUUGCACUGAUCCCAUGAAGUUCACCUCGAAGAUCAGAACUGUUGUUUGCAGUUAGUAUAGUCAUUCCUGGAAAAGAGCUAUCAGCAGUGACUCCUUUCCCCGUUGAAACCUCAUUAGAUGGCUGAUCUUCCAAUCUAGCAUCAUUUGGAGGUUCUUCCAAUGACUUAGAAUAAUUUAGCAAAGUGCGAGAAAUGGAAGGGCUAUCAUCAUUUUCAGUUGCUUGAGCAAUUACUUCAUCCAGUCCAUCAGCGACACCAUCAUAUGCUAGAUGUUCCAUACCAGUGGGUGGAUCCCAUGUGGAAGCACCAGUUUUGAUGUUAUGAAAGUAAUUUCUCAAGUAGAAAGAGUCCCAGUAUACCCUCCAAUCCCCAAAAUCAACAUUGUAGCCACAGCUGUCUGCUCCAUCAUGUUCAAACACUUCUGAGUUCUGAGAUAACACAACAAUUUCAGAAACUUCUGCCUCCUCAGUACUGUUGUCAUUGCAAAACCUUCUGCUUUGUUCAUGAAUUAGAGCAGCAGAUGAAUCUUCCAGGCACUCAUAAUCCAUCAAACUUCUACCAAGUUCUUUCUUAUCAUGGUCAACACUUGCAUCUGUCAACCAGCAUGGUGGUAAAUGUGGAGCAUCUGCAUUGCCUGAACUAAGUCCUUUCCCAUUUUCUUCAUUUGAAAUAACAUCACUGAAUGCUACAAACUCAUAUUCCAUGCCAUUAUUAGACAGAUCAGAUUUUCCAUCAAAAACAGCAUCAGAUAUAAUCUCAGUGGGCCUUGAAGGAUCUUCACCAGCAGGGCAUUGAGAAUCACUGGUAUCAAUCUGGUAAAUUCUAGUGCUUCAUCCUUAGCUUCUUUAUGACCACAAGAAAGCUUCAAAUGAGUGCCUUUCCUUUUGCCUGCAAUCAUUUUGUUCCUCACCUCUUUAUUGGACUGAAAGGAGUGGGGAAGCCCUAAGGCAUCCAUCUGUUUUGUCAGCUCCACAUCCUCUGGGGCUUCACUAAACUCUAAAAGAAUUUAAGCGGGAAAAAUUUGACGCAUAACAGAAAAAAAAGGGUCACCUAGUAGAAAAUCAGUGUAAAAAUGAAGUUCAGGUAUUAAAGCGGGGAAAAAAGCACUAACCAAUGGUUGAGGCAGGGAUGUUUAAACUGUUAUCAUCAUAAUCCUGAGGAGAUUUACUGGCGGACUCGGGAAACAAACAAACUUCACGCGUCUCCGUUGAGCCGUCCUCCCAUAUGUAGACUUCGGUAAGCUUAAAACGGGAACCCAUUGCUCUGAUGGCAGCGCCUUCACUUUCCAUUACAAAUUCUUUGAUCCCCGAUUAUCGUCAAGGGUCAACUUUAGGUCAAAAAUGAAAGAACCGAUGCCACUCCACUCCGCCCCCACUUUCAACUCCAAUCACAGUGAACGGGCACCGCCGCGCUUUCCCAUUUAUAGCAAGCGACAGUAGCCUAGGAUGAAAUGACGCAGGUUUGAGCGAUUCCAUCAAAAUGAAUGCCUAAGAAAGAAAACGAUACCGUUUCCCUAGAUUAUAGGGUUCGCCGACGUCGUGUUAUUCCCUCAUAUAGAACGACACCGGCGCACUAAAUUAUCUAGUUCGCCCGACUAAUCCAACGUCGUGUUAUUCCCUCCAAUUCAG
rnacentral:misc_RNA from 1 species